rnacentral:rRNA from 1 species
GUAGAUGACGCUGGCGGCAGGCCUAACACAUGCAAGUCGAGCGGCAGCGGAAAGUAGCUUGCUACUUUGCCGGCGAGCGGCGGACGGGUGAGUAAUGUCUGGGGAUCUGCCCGAUGGAGGGGGAUAACUACUGGAAACGGUAGCUAAUACCGCAUAACGUCGCAAGACCAAAGUGGGGGACCUUCGGGCCUCACACCAUCGGAUGAACCCAGAUGGGAUUAGCUAGUAGGUGGGGUAACGGCUCACCUAGGCGACGAUCCCUAGCUGGUCUGAGAGGAUGACCAGCCACACUGGAACUGAGACACGGUCCAGACUCCUACGGGAGGCAGCAGUGGGGAAUAUUGCACAAUGGGCGCAAGCCUGAUGCAGCCAUGCCGCGUGUGUGAAGAAGGCCUUCGGGUUGUAAAGCACUUUCAGCGGGGAGGAAGGAGUGAGUGUUAAUAGCACUCAUUAUUGACGUUACCCGCAGAAGAAGCACCGGCUAACUCCGUGCCAGCAGCCGCGGUAAUACGGAGGGUGCGAGCGUUAAUCGGAAUUACUGGGCGUAAAGCGUACGCAGGCGGUUUGUUAAGUCAGAUGUGAAAUCCCCGAGCUUAACUCGGGAACUGCAUUUGAAACUGGCAGGCUAGAGUCUCGUAGAGGGGGGUAGAAUUCCAGGUGUAGCGGUGAAAUGCGUAGAGAUCUGGAGGAAUACCGGUGGCGAAGGCGGCCCCCUGGACGAAGACUGACGCUCAGGUACGAAAGCGUGGGGAGCAAACAGGAUUAGAUACCCUGGUAGUCCACGCUGUAAACGAUGUCGAUUUGAAGGUUGUGGCCUUGAGCCGUGGCUUUCGGAGCUAACGCGUUAAAUCGACCGCCGAG